rnacentral:rRNA from 1 species
AUUGAACGCUGGCGGCAGGCCUAACACAUGCAAGUCGAACGAGUGGCGGACGGGUGAGUAAUGUCUGGGAACCUGACUGAUGGAGCGGGAUAACUACUGGAAACGGUAGCUAAUAGCGCAUACAAUCGGAUGUGCCCAGAGGGGAUUAGCUAGUAGGUGGGGUAAAGGCUCACCUUGGCGACAAUCCAUAGCUGGUCUGAGAGGAUGACCGGCAACACUGGGACUGAGACACGGUCCAGACUCCUACGGGAGGCAGCAGUGGGGAAUAUUGCACAAUGGGCGAAAGCCUGAUGGAGCAAUGCCGCGUGGAUGAAGAAGGCCUUCGGGUUGUAAAGUACUGUCGGCAGGGAGGCGUUACCUGCAGAAGAAGCAACGGCUAACUCCGUGCCAGCAGCCGCGGUAAUAC